UGGAAGGGUUUGAGAAUAUGUCCCCAGC
rnacentral:piRNA from 1 species